rnacentral:rRNA from 1 species
CGGCUUCCUACGGGAGGCAGCAGCCGAGAAUAUUUGUCAAUGGGCGAAAGCCUGAACGAGCGACGCCGCGUGGAGGAUGACGGUCUUCGGAUUGUAAACUCCUGUUAAACGGGAAGAAAGACUUGUUUCUAAUACAGACAAGUUAUGACGGUACUGUUAGAGAAAGCACCGGCUAACUUCGUGCCAGCAGCCGCGGUAAUACGAGGGGUGCAAGCGUUAUUCGGAUUGAUUGGGUGUAAAGGGUGUGCAGACGGCUUACUAAGUCACUUGUUAAGUUCCUCGGCCUAACUGAGGAUCUGCAGGUGAUACUGGAAAGCUAGAGGAUGUUAGAGGCAGAUGGAACAGCCGGUGUAGGGGUGAAAUCCGUUGAUAUCGGCUGGAACACCAAAGGCGAAGGCAGUCUGCUGGGACAUUCCUGACUCUGAGUCGCGAAAGCGUGGGGAGCAAAAAGGAUUAGAUACCCCGGUAGUCCAAGCCG